rnacentral:rRNA from 1 species
GACGAACGCUGGCGGCGUGCCUAAUACAUGCAAGUCGGGCGGAAGUUGGAGAGCUUGCUCUUCAACUUUAGCGGCGGACGGGUGAGUAACAUGUGGGCAACCUGCCCUGCAGAUCGGGAUAACUCCGGGAAACCGGUGCUAAUACCGAAUAGUUUUCGCCACCUCCUGGUGGCGUACGGAAAGACGGUUUCGGCUGUCACUGCAGGAUGGGCCCGCGGCGCGUUAGCUAGUUGGUGGGGUAACGGCCCACCAAGGCAACGAUGCGUAGCCGACCUGAGAGGGUGAUCGGCCACACUGGGACUGAGACACGGCCCAGACUCCUACGGGAGGCAGCAGUAGGGAAUCUUCCGCAAUGGACGAAAGUCUGACGGAGCAACGCCGCGUGAGUGACGAAGGUUUUCGGAUCGUAAAACUCUGUUGUGAGGGAAGAACAAGUACCAACUAACUACUGGUACCUUGACGGUACCUCACCAGAAAGCCACGGCUAACUACGUGCCAGCCGCCGCGGUAAGAC